rnacentral:rRNA from 1 species
UGGUGGAGUGAUUUGUCUGGUUAAUUCCGUUAACGAACGAGAUCUUAACCUGCUAAAUAGGUGCGCGAGCCAAGUGCUCGUAGUGCGUUCUUAGAGGGACAAACCACGGCUAGUGGUUGGAAGUUUGAGGCAAUAACA